rnacentral:tRNA from 1 species
GUGCUUAUGGUGUAAUGGCAGCACAGCAGUUUGUGGCACUGCUAGUACCGGUUCAAAUCCGGUUAAGCACC